rnacentral:lncRNA from 1 species
AUAAAUAAUACAUAUAGGCAAAUUGAAAAUUUUAGAUUAAUGUAAUGACCCAACCUGCUGCUAGUAAUAAUAACUCGUUGGGCCAAAACUACUAACCCAAAAAUGUUUAAGCCCAAUUAUUAUUAUUAGGGUGGAGUUCUCUUAUAAACUCAAUGACAAUCUCAUUUCCAUCCGAUAUGGAGCUAUUGGGGUGUCACAGAUUCUCCAUGUUUAGGCCCACGUCCUCAUCAACCCUAAACACACAAAGAUCACCUGGCAAUGUGAGACUUAUCUCGCUAACCUUUGUCAUUCCGACCCUGAUUUAGCCUGUCAAUCACCGACCCUGACUUAGUAUUCAGUUAAAACUUAUCUCACACUUCCGACUGGUGAACUGGCUUUGAUAUCAAAUGUAAGGACCCGACCUGCUACCAAUAAUAACUCGUUGGGCCAAAACCAUCCGCUGAAAAUACUUAAACUCAGUUAUUAUUACUAGAAUAGAGUUCUCUUAUAAACCAAAUGACAAAUCCUCAAUAUAAAUAUUUAUGACAAAUAUUAGAGGGGUAUUUU